UCAUUUUUGGAAAAACACUCAAGC
rnacentral:piRNA from 1 species